rnacentral:rRNA from 1 species
UGGGGAAUUUUGGACAAUGGGCGAAAGCCUGAUCCAGCAAUGCCGCGUGUGUGAAGAAGGCCUUCGGGUUGUAAAGCACUUUUGUCCGGAAAGAAAUCCUUGGCUCUAAUACAGUCGGGGGAUGACGGUACCGGAAGAAUAAGCACCGGCUAACUACGUGCCAGCAGCCGCGGUAAUACGUAGGGUGCAAGCGUUAAUCGGAAUUACUGGGCGUAAAGCGUGCGCAGGCGGUUUGCUAAGACCGAUGUGAAAUCCCCGGGCUCAACCUGGGAACUGCAUUGGUGACUGGCAGGCUAGAGUAUGGCAGAGGGGGGUAGAAUUCCACGUGUAGCAGUGAAAUGCGUAGAGAUGUGGAGGAAUACCGAUGGCGAAGGCAGCCCCCUGGGCCAAUACUGACGCUCAUGCACGAAAGCGUGGGGAGCAAACAGGAUUAGAUACCCUGGUAGUCCACGCCCUAAACGAUGUCAACUAGUUGUGGGGAUUCAUUUCCUUAGUAACGUAGCUAACGCGUGAAGUUGACCGCCUGGGGAGUACGGUCGCAAGAUUAAAA